AUUUGCAGCCAGAGCUUCGAGUUAUGAACAGAAAAAGAACCUCUUGUGCUUACUGUCCUACUCACAGCUGAAGCACUAGCUGUACUGUGCCUUGAAUGAGCUCCCAGCAUUCCAGAUGAUUAAAAUUGGAAUCUAGCUUGGUAACCCAAGUGGAAGAUUAUUUUUAAAAAAUUCUUGUUGUGUAUCCAGGACAGAAAAUAAAAUGGUGAAGUUCGUAUGCUCUGCAUUAUGCAUAUAUAGUUAUUGCCUAACUCAUCCUGUAAUAGUUAUAAUUCUCCAUGCAAUUUAAAUCUCUCAUGGGCUUUGUAUUACUUUAAAUCUUGGGAAUCUUUCCCCGCAAUUCUACACCAUUUUUCAGUAGUGAAGUAAUACGUAGAAGCCAUUUUCCACCCUAUGGCAUACUAUAAGUAAAAAGGCCACCCAUCUCAAGAUGGCAGUAAACCAGAAUUCUCCUAUCCUGCAAUGAAGCAUCAGCAUCAGUUGGUGUAAGGCAGAUCCAAUCCUGAUCAGCAGCAAAUUCUCUUCACUUCUUUUUAUGUCUGAACAUUUGUGUUACAAAAAUUCUCAGCCAUAGAGUGUGAGCAAAGCUCAGUUGGAAGCACAUUACAAUUUCCAUUUCAAUGAAAGGAACUAUCGGCAAACCAUCCAUCAUGCAAAGCCAGCCUGAUAGACCAAGGAUGGGGAGGGAAUGGCACUUCAGAUGGUGUCUGACUGCAGAUCCCAUCAGCUGCAGCAAGCUCAGUAUAUGAAGAAGGAUGAUGGGGACCCCAGUUCAACAUCUGGAGGACCGCAGGCUUCUAACUCUUGGGACAUCUUGUCUUCUUUCCACAGUAAAACCUCACAAGACAGUUCCAUCGCUUGACAUACUUAAUACUUUGUAUUGCAUCUGUACUGCAUUUUUAAAUAACCCACUGUCUUAGCCAUGAUAAGUCAGCCAGAAAGCUUUCACACCCCACUUAGGGAUCACCCUUUUGCUCAGAAAUUGUCGUCGUUUAGUCGUGUCCGACUCUUCGUGACCCCAUGGACCAGAGCACACCAGGCCCUCCUAUCUUCCACUGCCUCCCAUAGUUGUGUCAAAUUGCUCAGAAAUACCUGAAUGCAUAAUAGCUUGUUUAGGCAAGAGAGGGUUAAUAAGUCCCCAAAUUCAAAAGAGAAAGGAGGUUGACUCAUAGAAGAGAUGUUGAACCUUCUGAUUCAUCUGGAAAGGGUUUUUAGUGCAAUCUGAACAAUUCAACAACUGAAGGAAUAUAGAAAGGCAAUUGCCUGAACAUAUUUAAAAGGGAAUUUAGUAACAUGCUGUGUAGAUUGAAAACAUUAGGAGGUGAGAAAACAUGCUUGAAAGAGCCAUGUGAAGCUACAUUAAAAGAUAGUUCUAGCAUACUUAGUUGUAUAUUAUUAUGAACAUGCCCAGGGGCAUCUUUGGUGUCUGGCUCUUUUGUAUGAAUUGGUUUCCACUCUUCAGACACAGCCAGGUCACCUUAUCUCAAUCUGUAACCGCCUUCAGACGUUGAGCAGUCCAUGAGUUGCAUGGGGCAUGCUGACAGCUAAGAAUAGAUCAAGCCAAGUUUGACCAGGCAUUCCACCACCCAAGAAUACCUACAGAGGGAUUACACAUCUUAUUUGACAGCUGGCAAGCAAAUGUCCCUACU